CUACUUCACAAAGGCAUAAAGGUUCAAAAACAUUGCUCUGCUACAUUCAAAAAAAAAAAUUGCUCUGCUUCUUUUAUAACUAGUAUCAAAAUGACUAAUCAUUCACUUCAUCUCUUGACGACGACGGAUCAUUUACAUGGUAUUGUGCCUACAAAAAGAAUACAUCGAUUAUUUUAGAUCAAAAUAGGUAAUUAAAAAAUAAGAUUUGUGACAAUAUUGAUCUAGUACCUGCAACAAUUCAAAAUAGGAAGCACCAUUCAUGACUUGAGAAUAAAAUGGAGCCUAAAUAACAUUAAGUAUACUUGUUAGGUCCCAUAAUAUAAAUGUUGCAAGAAACUAAACUGCAGUAGGGUUCAUUCUUGUACCUGAUUUACUUCACUAAUAAGUCUUGAGUUUGGAUUGAAGGGAGCUAAAUUAUUUGAACUGCCUUGUCCAUUCCACCCAAA
rnacentral:lncRNA from 1 species